UAUGUGAUCGUCUCUCGCAUAUCAAUAAGCGGAGGAAAAGAAACUAACAAGGAUUCCCCUAGUAACGGCGAGUGAAGCGGGAAGAGCUCAAAUUUGAAAUCUUAAAGGGUUUCCCUUUACGAAUUGUAGUUUAAAGAAGUGUUUUCAGUUGAGGUUUUGGUAAAAGUUCUUUGGAAUAGGACAUCAUAGAGGGUGAGAAUCCCGUAUUUGACCUUUACUUUCAACUUUGUGAUACACUUUCAAAGAGUCGGAUUGUUUGGGAAUGCAGUCCAAAAUGGGUGGUAAAUUUCAUCUAAAGCUAAAUAUUGGCGAGAGACCGAUAGCGAACAAGUACCGUGAGGGAAAGACUGAAAAGAACUUUGAAAAGAGAGUUAAACAGUACGUGAAAUUGUCAAAAGGGAAGCGUUUGACACCAGUGUUGUUUUUCUGAAAAUCAAUUAAAGAACUGUUUAUGCUAAGCUGUUUAGACUUUAUCAGCUAUCUGUUUAGUUUUGAGCUUUUCUUUAAUGCACCUUUUCAGUUAACAAGUCAACAUCAAUUUCUUUUGCUGUAAAAAAGCUUGAGGAAGGUGGCUUGAGAUUCGUCUUAAGUGUUUAUAGCCUCUUGCCUAUGCAGUCGGAGAGAUUGAGGUCUGCAGCGUGGAUCCUUCGGGGCUAAAUGCAUUUGUGCUAAGUUAUAGCAUUUUAUAGACAACUUGUUGACUAUGAUUUGUCUUGUAGCUUACUCGCUUAUGUUAUUUUACCUACGCUUAGGAUGUUGAGCGCAUGUCUCUCUCU
rnacentral:rRNA from 1 species